rnacentral:rRNA from 1 species
UACGGAGGGUGCGAGCGUUGUCCGGAAUCACUGGGCGUAAAGGGCGCGUAGGCGGCCUGAUAAGUAGGGGGUGAAAUCCUGCGGCUUAACCGCAGGGCUGCCUUCUAAACUGUCAGGCUAGAGCACAGUAGAGGCAGGUGGAAUUCCCGGUGUAGCGGUGGAAUGCGUAGAGAUCGGGGAAGAACAUCAGUGGCGAAGGCG